CUGUACUUGGUGUUACUGCGAAGGGGGGACGGAGAAGGCUAUGUUGGCCGGGCGACGGUUGUCCCGGUUUAAGCGUGUAGGCUGGUUUUCCAGGCAAAUCCGGAAAAUCAAGGCUGAGGCGUGAUGACGAGGCACUACGGUGCUGAAGCAACAAAUGCCCUGCUUCCAGGAAAAGCCUCUAAGCAUCAGGUAACAUCAAAUCGUACCCCAAACCGACACAGGUGGUCAGGUAGAGAAUACCAAGGCGCUUGAGAGAACUCGGGUGAAGGAACUAGGCAAAAUGGUGCCGUAACUUCGGGAGAAGGCACGCUGAUAUGUAGGUGAAGUCCCUC
rnacentral:rRNA from 1 species